CAAUAGCCACACACCACUAGCCUUUCUUCAUCAUCCACACAACAGAGACACACACACACAUCCAAAACCACAGCUAACUUCUUUUGAGGCGGGCUACGUGAUCUCACCACACCGCACCAAUACUACCACCACAGCAAGCGCGAUCGUCUGUCUCGUUCGACCGUGUACGCCCGGUCGUCACACACAUAUUUACGUCAUCCCGUUUUCGCUCUCAUAGCACACCGCAGCACCCGUGCCCGUGUUUGAAGUGUGUGUCUUUUGCCUCUGAAUCCACCAACUGGCGAAAACCCAAGCUACAACACUCCAUUAUUGCGCGCUUCAUUCCACUCUCACUCACACUCACGAGCGUGCACACGCGCGCAUGUACGGUGCAACCUAAUAACUGUUGGCAUCUCGCUCUCCACCAUAAAAGCCACAAUUUGGCGACGCGCCAGCCUCACAUGCAGCCCUUUUCUCGUGUAUGUGUGUGUGUGUGCGUUAUUUGAGCGGUGUUUUAAUCUUGCGUCCGUAGCCGUUUUCUCACUCAUUCUCUCCCACUAAGCGACCUGUGCCUUUUUAUGUUUCUUGCAACUACUGAGAGACCGGAGAGACUGACUGGUCCCUACAUUCAUGCGAUGACGGAACAGACACACCGACCACCCUGUAUGUGUGUGUGUGUUUGUGUCUAGGGCCUUUUUGGUCAACCCCCUCACCCGCUUUCACACGCCUUUCGGCGUCUCAUGUCUAAAACCACACACAGCAUGCGCUUGCCGGCAAUGGAUACACGGCUCCUACUGCACUGGAGAGAAUGAGGGCGCACUCACUGGACAGACAAGGACAAGGUACGUGUGUAGCGCCACAGCCAACCGAGAGUAGGCGGUGAAUCAACCGAGGCUAGGAGGUUCACAGUUCCUCAACUACACACAUCGUAGUAAUUCGUUCGUUUUGCACCCCCGAAACGGUUAAUUCUGCGGCUGGUGGAUUAGAGUCCUUUAGCCGUUUUGAAAACCUAUAUGAAAGGUAAUUCCUCCAUCGCUAUCCCCUAAAUCGCAUAAAGCUCUCCGCACAACAGUUGCUGCUGGCACGCCACGAUUGGGAACGUAAUAAUCUUAUAUAACUUAUAUUCGCAUGCCUGCAUGUGACGAAUAAAUUCAUCUCACCAUCCAACCCAAGA